AUGAACGCUAGCGGCAGGCCUAAUACAUGCAAGCUGAACGGCAAGAGCUUUAGCAAUAGAGUUCCUAGAGUAGCGUAAGGGUGCGUAACACGUAUGCAAUCUACCCUCAACAGGAGGAUAGCUCCCCGAAAGGGGAAUUAAGACUCCAUAAGAUCACGGUGUGGCAUCACAGAGUGAUUAAACUACAAGGGGUUGAGGAUGAGCAUGCGUCUGAUUAGUUAGUUGGUGCGGGUAACGGCCCACCAAGACGAUGAUCAGUAGGGGAACUGAGAGGUUGGUCCCCCACACUGGCACUGAGAUACGGGCCAGACUCCUACGGGAGGCAGCAGUAGGGAAUAUUGGACAAUGGGUGCAAGCCUGAUCCAGCCAUGCCGCGUGCAGGAAGAAGGCCUUCUGGGUCGUAAACUGCUUUUACCGGGGGAUAAAAUACUCUUGCGAGAGGAAUUGAAAGUACCUGGUGAAUAAGCCACGGCUAACUACGU
rnacentral:rRNA from 1 species